rnacentral:lncRNA from 1 species
UUGAUUAACUAUGAGAAACAUAUUUUUAAGAAGGCUUAUUUUUGGGAAGUUAGAGUUGUGUUGUUUGAGGUGUGCUCCUGAAAGCUGUUUACUCAAACCUUUAUGGGUCAAGUUUUGUGCUGGGAGCAGGGUUUCCCUUGUAGUGAGGAGCUUACACCUGGAAACAUAGCAAAUGACGCAAUGGGAGAGCCACCUCACUGUGGAAUCAGCCUCUUCUCUCUGGUCCUUCAUCCUAGAAUUUGCAUCCGGUGUUUCUAACUUCUGCUCAGAAACCGUGAAAAUAAUAUAUUCAUUUACCGAUUGAUUCAUCCAAACAAUAAUUGGGUACACACUACAUACCAGGUUCAAGCGAUUCUCCUGCCUCAGCCUCCCGAGUAGCUGGGAUUACAGGCGCCUGCCACCAUGCCCUGCCCCCAUUAGCAUCUUGGGGGAAUCAAACCAAGAAUCUACCAACCCUUAAGAGCCAACUUUAGGGACAAGCAAUGUCUUCAUCGAGAGGCACAUCACAUCCCCAAAGGCCAAAUUUUGGUGAACAGUGACUGUGUCCAUUCUUUAUAU